AUGGUGCAGGCCUGCUACAUGGACGAGUCCUCGGAUGACCCGCAGCAGCCGCACCGCCCUGAGUCCAGCCGCCCGGUGGGCCUGGAGCAACUGCACCAGCUCGGGGUGCUCUACUGGAAGCUGGAUGCUGACAUAUAUGAGAAUGAUCCAGAAUUAGAAAAGAUCCGAAGAGAGAGAAACUACUCCUGGAUGGACGUAAUAACCAUAUGCAAAGAUAAACUACCCAAUUAUGAAGAAAAGAUUAAGAUGUUUUAUGAGGAGUAUUUGCACUGGGAUGAUGAGAUCCGCUACAUUCUGGUUGGCAGUGGGUACUUUGAUGUUAGAGAUAAAGAGGACAAGUGGAUCCGGAUCUUCAUGGAGAAAGGAGACAUGAUAAGGCUCCCUGCAGGAAUCUACCACUGCUUCACGGUGGAUGAGAAGAACUACACAAAGGCCAUGCGACUGUUUGUGGGAGACCCAGUGUGGACAGCGUACAACCGACCCGCUGAC